rnacentral:rRNA from 1 species
GACGAACGCUGGCGGCGUGCCUAACACAUGCAAGUCGAACGAAGAAUGUUUUUCGGAAUAUUCUUAGUGGCGGACGGGUGAGUAACGCGUGAACAAUCUGCCCCGUACAAAGGGAUAGCCUCGGGAAACCGGGAUUAAAACCAUAUAACGCUUUAGUACCGCAUGGUAAUAAAGUCAAAUCGAUUAAGAGGUAUGGGAUGAGUUCGCGUCUGAUUAGCUAGUUGGUGAGGUAAGGGCUCACCAAGGCGACGAUCAGUAGCCGGCCUGAGAGGGUGAACGGCCACACUGGAACUGAGACACGGUCCAGACUCCUACGGGAGGCAGCAGUGGGGAAUAUUGCACAAUGGAGGGAACUCUGAUGCAGCGACGCCGCGUGAGUGAAGAAGGUCUUCGGAUCGUAAAACUCUGUCCUUGGUGAAGAAAAGGACGGUAGCCAAGGAGGAAGCCCCGGGCUAACUACGUGCCAGCAGCCGGGUAAUCACGAGAGUA